rnacentral:rRNA from 1 species
CAGCCGCCGCGGGAAUACAGAGGGUGCAAGCGUUAAUCGGAAUUACUGGGCGUAAAGCGCGCGUAGGUGGUUUGUUAAGUUGGAUGUGAAAGCCCCGGGCUCAACCUGGGAACUGCAUCCAAAACUGGCAAGCUAGAGUACGGUAGAGGGUGGUGGAAUUUCCUGUGUAGCGGUGAAAUGCGUAGAUAUAGGAAGGAACACCAGUGGCGAAGGCGACCACCUGGACUGAUACUGACACUGAGGUGCGAAAGCGUGGGGAGCAAACAGGAUUAGAUACCCGUGUAGUCCCUGUUUCUUAUAC